GGAAGGAUCAUUAACACAAUAUCCAAAAACCUUGUGUGAACUGUAAUGUUUUUUACGUUUACUCGAACUAACAAGUCCUACUUGUAGGACAAAAACUAAUCAAAACAACUGCUAGCAACGGAUGUCUUGGUUCUCGCAACGAUGAAGAACGCAGCAAAUUGCGAUAAGUAAUGUGAAUCGUAAGAUUCAGUGAAUCAUCAAAUCUUUGAACGCAAACGGCGCCCUCUGGUAUUCCGGGGGGCAUACCUGUUUGAGCAUCAAUAUUCAUUUCAUAUCCUUUUGGGUGUGGUGAAUGAGCGUCAUGCGUUGCAUGUUGCUUGAAAUGCAUAGCGGAGACUACCAACCAAUGGUGAGGACCUAGUCCAGCUAUUGGAUCUGAUAGCGCUCUUAGACAUCAACCUUGAUCUCAAAUCAGGUAAGAUUACCCGCUGAAUUGAAGCAUCUAAUUAAGCGGAGGAAAAGAAACUAACAAGGAUUCCCUUAGUAAUGGCGAAUGAACAGGGAAGAGCUCAAACUUAAAAUCUGGGAGGUCUCCUCCCCGAAUUGUAGUCUAGAGAAGCGUUACCGGAGGCUGUCUUACGUCCAAGUCCUUUGGAAAGGGGCAUCAGAGAGGGUGACAAUCCCGUAUCUGGCGUGAGAACGGUUUCCAUACGGAGCGCUCUCCACGAGUCGAGUUGUUUGGGAAUGCAGCUCCAAAUGGGUGGUAAAUUCCAUCUAAAGCUAAAUACCGGCGAGAGACCGAUAGCGAACAAGUACCGUGAGGGAAAGAUGAAAAGAACUUUGAAAAGAGAGUGAAAAGUGCCUGAAAUUGCUAGCAUGGAAUCGAUUGAAACUGGUGAUCUGCGGGAGAGACUGGCUGUGACUUCCGUUCUGCGGAUUUGCAGCUCACCUCUCUUCUGUAGAAGUCAACUCCCGUUACCGGUCCAGUGAUCGCCUGUGGGGAAGGUAGGUAGGGCCGCAAGGCUUUGCUGUUAUAGCUCCAUGGGUGUGCUGGGAAGGAGACGAGGUUGUCGGUGCUGUAUCGUUGCUUUGUGCUGGGGUAUGCAUUGCGUGGGACUGCUUGCAGUGUCAUGUAGUGUGUGCUUCACCGCUGGGUAAAGAUGCGGUGCUGCUGUUGACGUAACGGUUUUAACCGUCCCGUCUUGAAACACGGACCAAGGAGUCUAACAUAUAUGCGAGUAUUGUGGUGGCAAACCAACAAUGCGCAAUGAAAGUAAAGGCCGCAAGGCUGAGGUGUGAGCCCGCAAGGGUGCAACAUCGACCGAUCUGGAGGUUUUCUGAAAGAUUUGAGUAAGAGCAUAUACGUUGGGACCCGAAAGAUGGUGAACUAUGCCUGAAUAGGACGAAGCCAGAGGAAACUCUGGUGGAGGUCCGAAGCGGUUUUGACGUGCAAAUCAAUCGUCAGAUUUGGGUAUAGGGGCGAAAGACUAAUCGAACCAUCUAGUAGCUGGUUCCCUC
rnacentral:misc_RNA from 1 species